UCCGAGAGAGGGAUGCGCUCCGGGCGAGAGCGGUUCGCCGGGAGAGAAUUAAGUCGUUAUAUCGGCAGAUGGUCAAUUUUCAUCCUUUGGUCGUGGUGGUGGUGCUGCCGGUGCCGGUGCCGGUGCCGGAGGACCGCGCAGGUUCGGAAUGGGAUGAAUCGGAACGGAGCGGAGCGGAAAGUAAAGCGAAAAGCGAACUAAAAUAUAAGAGAUCACCGCGAGGGAUCGGAUCGUAAGGGCGUACGCGUACGAGAGUUGAAAGAGGGGAACGGAGAUCGAUCCGGAACACCACGAGACGCGGCGAACCGCUCUUUAACCCCGAGCCCGCGGGAGUCCAUUGUCUCUAUUUUGUGUUCGUGGAACUGCGCGCCGGGCAUGUGGCGGCAUAUUUUCGACCUUCUCGUUACAUGUGGGGGUUUGCGAGCGCUGUGUUGGUCACGCGUGUACGUAUACAAUAUUUAUAGAGGUCCGCACACCGUUCGUUUUCACGUCGCUCCGGCGGGAACCCGCAUGUGUAGCCGUAUUGUAGACCCACACGAAAUCGUGGGGGUACGUCGGGAUGUGUAUGGAAACGUGCGGUAUACAUAAACCGGUGGUGACCGAGCAAUGCUCGGGUCUCUCGACUCGGUGUGGCGCGCGGUGCACAAGACCGCGCGCGAGACCCAUAAGGCCCGGUAAGUUACACCUCUGCCUCGCUUAUCCGUGGAGAUCGCUCGGGCGGGCACUCGGGGCUGAAUAACUUUACUACCGGUUUCUUACCCCCGUCGCGUCGCCCCGGUCUCACCUAACCCGAACCCGAACCCGAACCUCAAAGUCCCGGUACGGAAUAGGGCCGGGCGGUCACGGUGAAUAGUCGACCCUCCGAGGAUCGAACGAGAUCGAGCCAGCAAUCACCCCCGAUUAUUCGGAGUAAAAUGUCCAGAGUCUAACCAUUCGAGAUGCGUAUCGGCACGACUGCGGCGUAACGUUUCCCAUAUAUACGUACAGCGGUCCGCGCGAAUAGUAGGCGAAACGAUGCGUACGAACAAUACAAGGAUAUGCUCGCGGCUUAGUUUUGGAGAACAAUGGGAUCCCCAGUUUUGGUGUACGCGCGGCGACGAAGGGGGGAUCGGGCCGGGGGGAAUCGAGAAUCGCUUCUGCGAGCGGGUUACGAUGUACACGAGUAGCUGGUAUAUAUACGGUAAUAAUAACAACGUGCAGAAUCGUGUGUGUAUAAAGACGCGAGGAAGCAGCGAAAGUCCAAGUUGAGAAAAAGGAAGGCGGCGAUACCUAUAUAUCAACGUGCGGGGGGCAGGGAGGGAGGUAGGGUGGGUUGAAGUAAAAAAUGGAAAAACGUGGAGCAAAAAAGAGCGGGACAACUACGCGGGCACCGGGUUCCCGGCUCUUCGCCCCGGACUCCGAGUACCGAAGGGACUCACUUGGACGCACGCGCUGACGCGACAACCUCAUUUGUGCGCGACGGCUCCCAAGAAGGAUCGAGAAGGACCGACGAGGGGACCGCUCGGACCGCGCUGCCGCAGGGAGACUCGGGUACCGCGGAUCGAGGGAGAGAGAGAGAGAGAGAGAGAGAGAGAGAGAGAGAGAGAGAGAGAGAGAGAGAGAGAGAGAGAAAAGCCAGAUGGACGGGCCAAUCAAGCGCCCAGGGUCCGCCGCUGACGUGAUUACAACGGUUGCGCGUGACCGGAGUUCCUUAGCCCCCUCGCUACUCCCUACCCAACCCCCCGCGUCCCCCACGUGCUCCAAUGGUCGACUCGGACCCUGGGCCUUCUUCGCUCCGGCGGUUACUCGGAGCCGAGGGCGCGCAAAAAUACGGAGAGAGCCGAUCCACGGAGAGUAAGGAUUUUCGUUUUAGAUAAAGAAAAAGCGGUUUCUGGACUUCCCGAUCGUACUCUCCUUUCUCGGCUAGAACGCUACCUACGUACCGACGAUAUUUCGGCCCGUCGGUGGUUGUCCCCCGCGCGCACCGGGUACCACCUGCGGGGACCGUUCGGAUAUCUCGGUGCGUCCCUGGCAACGUCUGACGGCUUUACAGCGGUCCGUCGCUCGUUUCUCGGGCCAGGUUGCCCGCCUGCCUGUUUUUGUACUAUCUCCACCUUUCCCCGUUCCACCCCGUCGGGGCCCCGCAGUCGGACUACUCUCCUCCGCAGCAGCAGCGAGCAGCGCAAGCCUCGUUUGGGCUUCUUCGCUCUCUUAACUCGGAUAGUCGGAUACCCGACAACCUCUGAAGAGCCACCCUCUCUCCUCCGUGCGCACGUAGGCGUAAGAUCUUUCCUCGGCCCCGCCGCGCCGCCGAGGUACGACUCUCCUCUCUCCUUUCGACCGAUCCUUUUCCUCUUACUUUUCCAUUUCUUACCUGCGCUACAUACUUUUACGUACGGCGUACAACGCGUGAGGAAACUCACGACGAAUGAACCGACCAACGAAAUAACUGAGGUACGAACAAAGCGCUCUGCUGCUGUUAUCGCGACCACGUAUAACCAUCCAAGAGCGUCGCUUCCACUCGUUCUCCGUCACUCUCUUAUUCCAAUCUACCUCACGUGCAAUGUAUGGUUACAUCGAUAUACAUGUACACGUAUCCAUACGUUCCGAGGUACCAAAUACGUUCGUUCGUACAGGGUUCCUGCGGAGGAGCAAAAAAAAAAAAAACAAAAAAAAACAAAAAAAACCAAAGAAAGAAGACGAAGAAGAAGGAGAAGAAGGAGAAGAAGAAGAAGAAGAAGAAGAGAAGGGGAGGGGGAAAAAGUCAUGAGAAAGAGGUGGGGAUCUGGGACCAGACGCGGCGUACAACUCGCGAGGGACCAAGGGAGACAUGCCGACAUGUUUAUUAUUUCGACGUCGAAGCCUCUCCCGAGAUUUAGUGGGGCCGAGGAACCGAUUGGCAGGGCAGGGGGGAGGGUAUGGGGAAAGCCUGUAUUCAUCGAUGCGGUACAUCUUCGGGUAGGCGUAUGCUUACAAGUGUAAACUUUAUGCAUCACACUUGUUAUCCCUCAUUGUACCCGGCAGCCGGUCACACCUCGGACAUACAGUGUUAAUUUCAUGGACACUGCAUUGGCUUGCUCGCCGACACCCGAGAAGGAACUUGGUCCACCGCGGGUUGGAAUCAAAGUGGCUCCCUAAUAAGCAUAAUACGUGUACAGUAUAUUUCAUAAACGCACGGCGGUUGAAGUUUGGUCGACGGCGCGGGGGUAAGCCCCUCGAACAAGAGAUAACGUGCGUACGUGUGCAGCGGAGUUACAGAGAUGGAACUGCAUCUGCUGCAGCGGAAUAAAGAUGCGGCCCUGCAGCCUCCCGUCGUGGACCGGUUCAAAAAUACCUCAGAUGCUCGCGCCGGGGAGGCGGCCGCGGAGGGAAGGGGACAAAGAUGGCGUACUACGAAAUCGCUUCGCGUCUAUGUGGGUUAAACGGAGAUGGGACGCGUCUUUAUUAUACGAACGAACGGACAGACGGAUGGAAAAAGGAACGCCUCUGACGGCACUCUUCACCGGGAGAGCGCUAUAUAACCCCGUAUACACGCGCCCGUAUACUCGUACGUACACCACACGUAGGUAUACGUAUACACGCACCUUGGAAAGAUGCUGUAACCGACGCGUUAUCCCGUACCACACGUUCAAGGAAUCCACACCCUUCGCCCAUCCACCGUACACGCACACGUACAGUACACUUAUAUACCUAAAUUUAUACAUAUGUACCGACUCGGAUCUAAUAUGUCCGUGUAUAAAAAAGACAUAUACGUAUACGUGUACAUGUAUUUCUACGAGCCUCGUUCGUUCGGUCAAAUUAUGCCAGCCGUUGUAUGUUUUAUGCAACGGAGUGGGCGGACGGGGUGAUUCUACGUCGACUGGCAGCUGUAGUCGCAGCGACGUCGUUUUCCUCGUCUUUAUACGCUACCGCUGCACCCGCGUGCGCCCCGUCAACGCGACUGCCAUUCA